GGGGAAAAUGCGGACAUGCCACUCAGUCCGGCCGCGAACAGUGCUCCAGAACUCAGAGAGUUUUCCAGACGGGUGGAGAUCGCGUUCCCUGCCCGCCGAGGUCCCAUCGCUUCCCUGCUGGGAAGACAAAUGAGGCGCUUUAGCCGUCUCCACGGCCAGCCCCUCCCUCAUAACCCGAGAUUCUUUGUGGGCUCUUAGUCCAUAGCUGCCUUUGAGGUGGUGUAGACCUUGCUAACCAGGACGGCCCAGUAGGCAGAGCUCAUUUUUAUUCCUGUCUGCAAUCGUGCAAAAACGCCUCUUAUGGAAAAGCCAGAGCGCCAGGAGUCAGCAAAACACACUAAAGAUUGGGCAGUCACUGGGGAGAACUGCAAUUAACCUUUAAGAUACUACGUGUCAGGCCUCUGAGCCCAAACUAAGCCAUCAUAUCCCCUGUGACCUGCAUGUAUACAUACAGAUGGCCUGAAGCAACUGAAGAUCCACAAAAGAAGUGAAAAUAGCCUUAACUGAUGACAUUCCACCAUUGAGAUUUGUUCCUGCCCCACCCUAACUGAUACGAUAUAUUCUCCCCCGCCCUUAAGAAGACUCAGCCCGCCUGCACCCAGGUGAAAUAUACAGCCUUGUUGCUCACACAAAGCCUGUUUGGUGGUUUCUUCACACGGAUGCAUGUGACAUUUGGUGCUGAAGACCCAGGACAGGAGGACUCCUUUGGGAGACCAGUGCCCUGUUGUCGCCCUCACUCCGUGAGGAGAUCCACCUAUGAUCUCAGGUCCUCAGACCAACCAGCCCAAGGAACAUCUUGCCAAUUUCAAAUCGGCUCUCCCCGAUCUGCCCAACAAUUUCCUGUUAAAGAGAUGGCUGACUAUCCUGACUUCAUCAGAGCAGGCUGGUGCCUGGCCUUCCUGGAAUGAGUGGGUGUUCUGACAGGCCCCCAGUUUGUCCCAUCUGCACCGCCAAGAGGUCUCCGGGUGGCCAGAGGAGCAAAGUUGCCUUCCAAGUGCCUGUUGGUGCCUGGGAGAACACAGCAGGAGUGUCGUGCGGCCCACAGCGCAGUGCAUGGUGAUUCCAGGCGCUGAACAACUCCCCUUGACCCUUGGGCCUGCAUCUGACUCCCGGCUGCAGAAUCAGAAGCUGAGUCCAGGCAACCGCUCGGCCACUCCCGGUCACUCCUCUCUGGACACCCAGUUACUAAAGUCAGCAAAGAAGAUGCGGUAAUCACCGCCUGAUCUCCACAUGGUGAACACAACACUCUCACUAACACCUCCUUGACCAGUCAGUCUUCAGCACUGGGGGUGGACAGGCAGGUUUUCUGUGUUUACCAGAAUCGCACAGGCUAAGCACAAACAUGGAACCAGAGUUCCAGGUGAGGAAACCUCACUCGCAGAAGCCCAGGCUGCACCCCACCAGGUGAUGCAGUGCGCCUAGGCUGUGGGUGCUAGGAGCCAAGUGCUAGGGACUCGUCAUGAGUGGGAAUCCCCACGUUCCUGUCACUGCUGUCAAACAGAAGGUAAACAGUCUUACGAAUGUAAUUCCUUAGGAAGACUUGUACAAACUUUUAUUAGGAUAUCUAUUUAUUUAAUACUGAACUUUGGCCUACUUUGUGAUAAGACUAUAAACAAAUUGAGGAAAUCACUAUUUCUCACUUCUGUAUUUCUCAAAAAAUAAUUUUGUUACAGAGUUCAAUAUAC
rnacentral:lncRNA from 1 species